AGUUCUUUUCUAUACUCAUGUUGUCUUUCACUUUAAUCAACUUUUAGUAACUUUAUUAUUUUACAGCUACCUCUGGAGGGCUUAUUACUAUCACUUCUCCGGCAUUGGACUGGUCGGAGAGUCAAAGUUACUGCCUGAGCCAUUACUUAGAUUUGGCAAGCCCAAAAAAUGUAACAGAGAACAAUGAGAUUCAACCAUUCGUGUCACCCCUGGGCACUUCUUGGAUUGGCAUAUAUAGGCCUAAUUGGACUUGGGUAAAUGGGGAUUUAGGGACUGGGCUUCCGUGGCAUCCUGGCAAUCCAAAUAAUGUUGAUGGAGAUGACAACUGUGGUUUUCUAGAUAACAGCUUGGUAGAGGAUAAACCAUGCAGCAACCAAUUCUACUUCUUCUGUCACAUCCCAUAUACAGUGAGACAGCAAGUAUUAAAACUGAAGAUUCAAGGAGACAAUAGUGUGUUUGGUCCUGCUUCUCAGGCAGCCAUUUUACAACAGGUCAAGCAGAAACUGAAGGACCACGGCAUAGAGAAAGAGACAAAUGUGACCUGGAGGGUGUGGCCAGAUGGAACAGUCAUUCACAAGAAAAGCAAGAAUGAACUCUGAACAAUCUCCUUACAUACUUCUCAAAAUAUAACUUUUAAAUUCUAUAUCAGGUUCUGUUGUGGUGAAAUGUAAUGUCAUAGAAAAAAACAGAUUAAAUUCAAUUUGAAUUCAAAUUUAUUAAUUGAUACUUAGACAUUCAAAUCAAAAGGACACAGUACAAAAUAUAGUUUUACUAGAAGAGUCUCUUGAUUGUUAUGGACAUUCUGUAUAAUUAUUUUAUCAUAAAGGCACAACCAGGGUCUGUGAACAUGAUUUGGAAAAAAGCUUUUUGCAAACAUUCAAUCUGUGAUGAUCUUGGUCUUCAGAUGUGGUUUAUAAUCCCUAAUAAUUAUGCUUUAUUACUGUUAGCUGUAGCGUCUACUUAGAAUUUAAUUUCUACUAUCUUUCUAAUGUCUGUCAACAACCUGGAUGUUAUGACUGGACUAAUGGAGAGAUUUGGGGCCACAUUAGGAGUAUCUUCUUGGUACAGUAUCUUAGUCUCGUACAUGUCUGGCUAGAUUUAAGUCAGACAUAUUUUAUUUAUAUAUUCAUAUCAUUUACAUAUUGAUGUACUUAAAACUUUGUAAGGUGUCUCAAAUAUAGAAUUUUAUUUUAUAUUUUAUAUUUACAAGACAUCCUCUUGAUACUAUCCUUGUGUUAUAUUGAAUGAGUCAGAUGUUAUAUAAAAAAUAUCUUUUAUUACAUUUGAUUGAAUUUGUAUUGUAACUGGCUUAAGUAAUUGUCAUGUCUCAGGUUGUCUUCAUUUACUAUGACGAACAAAUAAUACAAGUAAAUAAAAUUGUUCAGGAAUGUGA